UAUGGUGGGUCUGAACACGAU
rnacentral:misc_RNA from 1 species